UUUUGAUUUUGUAACAAUUAACUUCUAGAUUGGACAAUAAACUGCAAAACAUUUGGCACUGCCUUUAAGGAAUGAAAGUUUUGCCAGUAUAAGCUAGAUGAAAUUUGCCUCAUGGACUGGAUGAAGUGCCCACCCUGUGAAGAGAGCCAGCACUCAGUUCAUGUGGAUGGGAAUAUGAAAUUGUAUUGUUUCAAAUCAGCUGGAAUGUUAUCUGGGGUGGCAGAUGGCAGCCUGUGCUUCAGCAACCACUGGUGAGGAGGUGGAGCAAAUAAAAUUAAUUGUCAUUUUUCAUGGCUUGGUACCAGUAAGCAUAUUCUGGAGGGCAAUUUGUUUUAAGGAUGAAAGUGCCUGGUGAGAAGAGUUGCUAACAGAGCAUGCCCUCCAGUGGGACAGGAAAAAAAUUGAAAAGCUUCCCCUCUCCCGGUUAAGCGAUAUUCUAAGACAAAGAUUCAGCUUUCCAAUGCCAAAGAGGAAUUAUUUUAGCAUUUGAAAGAACUCCACAUUCCAGUUGAUGUAUUAACUGUCUGGCAGAAGGAGAUCUUCCAUGCCGCCCAAGAAAGAGAAUUCCCAGAAGUCUAGGAAAGUUGCUGUAUCGAAGGAAGAAGAAGAGUUUUUUCUCAAAGUUGUCGGUGUGAAAAUUGUAAAUUUAACAGAAAAACACCAAAACCUGUGUAGGGUUGCUAAGCAGAUGUAUGGUCAGCAUAUGUACAACCAGAUACUGUCAAGAUGUGCUGAUUCAAAGAUGGGAAGGUACUUCUUCUGACGAAGGUGGCUAGGGGGAAAUUAUUCUGUUCGAGAUUACUUCUUCUCGAUUUCUCAGACAUCCAGUGCUCUAACUUGGAUGAAGGCGAUACAAAAGCUGCAGAGCGUUCAUCCGAGAAAGUGAGAUGUGCUUUUUUGGAUUUGCAGCUUCGGAUGUUCGGCUAUGUCACUUCGCGGAUUUCCGAGAAUCUUUGGUUAUGAUUUACGAGCUAUUAAAUAUUCCAUCUCAGUCCCUCUCGACCGAGGUGAUUUUGGUGGAUGGAAUCUAAUGCUGACCGGUGUGCGCACUCUGAUUACGUUGCAUCAUGGGCGUAAAACGAAAAACGAGUCAUUUACAUCCUGUCGCGGUCCAGUGAACAUCUCUGUUGGUAGCAAGAUAGCGUGAAUAAACGUGGAAUGUAAUGGUGAUUCACUGUCUGUUGCCGUUUCUUCGAAAGUUAAAUAGUGUUUGCGGGCCUACGCGACUCCUGUCAUUCCUCCGUGACAAAUUCGUUAUUAGGAAGCAGCUGAGGAGAUUCAGAAAGAAUCGAAACUGCAGCCUUGCCCAAGAAUCUAUUCAUCUCACAGCCGAUGGCUUUGUGAAUAAUAUCAAAUUCGCGAGUUAUAUAACGGGGAAUCGACCUUUGACUUGGAAACGUAUUACAAAGAGACAGCGACCUUCUCUAAUACACGAACUAUUUUUUCGUGUCAUAUUCUCUAAGGCGUAAAUACGGGAUUCGCGAAAGGAAAAGCCUUACGCCUCCCAAGACCAAAUUCGUCACGCUCAACGUUAAUUAAAAACGUACAGAGUUUCAAAUAUGCUUAAAAAAGUGAGAAUACCCAGAGUAAGGUUUUGAGAAACCUACCUCUAGCGAUAUUUUCUGCGGGAGAGACAGUAUACUUGUAAACAAAAAAAUAGCGCGCACAUAUGAAAAUAUUACCUUCUGUAACACGAUCCCACUCGGCUUUUCUAAACCUCAAGAGCAUACAGAUGGGGAAAUGACACCUUAAAACUAACCCUUAUUAUCACAUCGCAAACGAAAGACAUUAAAAGAUAUUUUAAUAACUUCCGGCUUAUGCGGCGUGUCACCGUGUGUAUUGUAGAGUUAUUCAUAGGUCAAGUGACUCCUUCUCUAAUUCAACUAUCCUUCAUUCAGUGAUCAAG